rnacentral:rRNA from 1 species
ACGGAAGGCAGCAGUGGGGAAUAUUGCACAAUGGGCGCAAGUCUGAUGCAGCGAUGCCGCGUGAGGGAAGAAGGUUUUCGGAUUGUAAACCUCUGUCAUCGGGGACGAUAAUGACUGUGCCCGAGAAGGAAGCUCCGGCUAACUACGUGCCAGCAGCCGCGGUAAUACGUAGGGAGCGAGCGUUAUCCGGAAUUACUGGGUGUAAAGGGAGUGUAGGCGGGACUGUAAGUCAGAUGUGAAAUAUGCCGGCUCAACUGGCAGACUGCAUUUGAAACUGCGGUUCUUGAGUGAAGUAGAGGUAAGCGGAAUUCCUAGUGUAGCGGUGAAAUGCGUAGAUAUUAGGAGGAACAUCAGUGGCGAAGGCGGCGUACUGGGCUUUAACUGACGCUGAGGCUCGAAAGCGUGGGGAGCAAACAGGAUUAGAUACCCUGGUA